GACCUCCUGCCCACAAAGGCUCGCUGGUGUUGAUCCAAAAAAAAAGCUCGCUGGUGGGCUGGCAACCGGCGCUGGACGGCUCACGCGUGCAAGGCCUGCUCGGCGUACAGGCUCACUGGCCACGCUCCUCCCCUGUUCGCCUCGCAAGUUUGCCUCAGCAUCACGCAGUCCCGCCGUCCAGCCACGCUUGCCGGUGCAGAGGGCGUUGAAUCGCCGCACCUCGGCCACGCGCCUCCCGCUGCGGCCGCCGCUCCACCUCCCGCCAAUGCCCGCCGCUCCCGUCCCACCACGUCUGCAGGCGCAGUGCCUCCCGUAGUCCCGCUACUCGGCCAGCCCACUCAACCGCCGCAUCUUGGCACCUCAUUGUAUGCCUCCUCGACUGCCUCUGCCAAUGAAUGCUACCGUUCUUGCCAUGGUGGAUCUGUUCUUGGCAUUCAUUUGCAGCAUUCACAUAAACUCCACCCCCUUUAGCCAUUCUAUUGUUCCAUCCCCAAGCCUAUAUCCCGAAGGACCAAAGAUCUCCCCGCUGCUGGUUGCACCAAAUUCAUGGAGUCCGUGUAUAGGGAGGGCACAGCUUCCUGAUCAAAGCAAAAAGUUCACAUAAAUUGAUUUUGCUUCUAGAUGUAGCAGCAACAUUGGCCUUCUUGACAAAUUCAGACAAGCCAAAAUCAUGACCUCGACAAAAAAGCUUCAAGACAUUACUUUAGGCCAACAAGACUGCAAGAUCCUAGGUCGACUUACAAGACUAUGGGAUUCAAAAAAAUAUGAGAUCCAAAUCUGCAGAUCCACUCAUCAGUAUUGAUGGCAUAAUAAUUGAUGAAAAUGAAAGUAUUCUUUUCUUCAUAUUUGACCUUACUCCAUAUUUCUUGAUUAAAAUAUCCAUGCCUUCCACUUUUAUUCCAUAACAGGGCACAAUGGUUCAAAUUACUGUCCCAAAGAAACUUGCACAACAGUUUUGACCUUUACUUGCUGAAGGCCAAGUAUCAGUCUAUAUAUUUACAAAUCUUACUGCAGUUGACAGCAAACAAAGGACAUGCAUCUAUCACCAUCAAAAGUACAUGCUACAGUUCCAGCCCAAGUCGAAGGUCCAUCGUCUUGAUUCACGAGGAGAUAAGAUCCCCCACUAUGCAUUCAAAUUUUGCCCAUUUGAUCAGUUAUCAUCAAAAGACAUUACAUCAAAGCCACUUCUAGGAGUUAUCAGCCAUAUAGGACCUUAUGAUUUUGCUAGCGCAACAUCAAGUACAAAACUCCGAAAAGUCAAGAUUCGAGGCCAAGAGGAACAAACACAGGAAAUACAACUAUGGGGUGAACAUGGCGAAACAUUUAACGAGGCUGAAUUCCUUGAAAAAUCUAAGCAAGGGAUCAUUGUAGCAAUAUUUGCUAGAUUAACUGCAAGAAGCUUUAAAGACCAAAGACAUAACCAAGCACCUUGCAACUAACAACCCGAUGAUCAUUGCUCAAUACACAAAAAAGGGACAACCAUACCUGCAAGCUAUUUUAACUGAAGAGGAGCCCACAAGUGCAAAUACAAAUUAGCUACUUUCUCCAAAAUUCUAUGUUAUUUCCUAAAUAAUUUCAAUUCCCUUUACAUAAAUAUCUCCCAAGUAUAUCGUCCGCACCUAUCUAUUCAAUAAAACUGAAUCACAUUUAUACAAUAA